GACGAACGCUGGCGGCGUGCUUAACACAUGCAAGUCGAACGGAAAGGCCCUGCUUUUGCGGGGUGCUCGAGUGGCGAACGGGUGAGUAACACGUGAGUAACCUGCCCUUGACUUUGGGAUAACUUCAGGAAACUGGGGCUAAUACCGGAUAGGAGCUCUUGCUGCAUGGUGGGGGUUGGAAAGUUUCGGCGGUUGGGGAUGGACUCGCGGCUUAUGAGCUUGUUGGUGGGGUAGUGGCUUACCAAGGCUUUGACGGGUAGCCGGCCUGAGAGGGUGACCGGCCACAUUGGGACUGAGAUACGGCCCAGACUCCUACGGGAGGCAGCAGGGGGGAAUAUUACGCAAUGGGCGGAAGCCAGAUGCAGCAACGCCGCGUGCGUGAUAACGGCCUUCGAGUUAUAAACCGCUUUCGCCUGUGACGAAGCGUGAGUGACGGUAAUGGGUAAAGAAGCACCGGCUAACUACGUG
rnacentral:rRNA from 1 species